rnacentral:rRNA from 1 species
CAACCUACCUAUCAGAGGGGGAUAACCCGGCGAAAGUCGGACUAAUACCGCAUAAAACAGGGGCACCGCAUGGUGAUAUUUGUUAAAAAUUUAUUGCUGAUAGAUGGGCAUGCGUUCCAUUAGGUAGUUGGAGAGGUAACGGCUCACCAAGCCAACGAUGGAUAGGGGAACUGAGAGGUUGGUCCCCCACACUGGUACUGAGACACGGACCAGACUCCUACGGGAGGCAGCAGUGAGGAAUAUUGGUCAAUGGGCGAGAGCCUGAACCAGCCAAAUCGCGUGAAGGAAGAAGGAUCUAUGGUUCGUAAACUUCUUUUGCAGGGGAAUAAAGUGCAGGACGUGUCCUGUUUUGUAUGUACCCUGAGAAUAAGGAUCGGCUAACUCCGUGCCAGCAGCCGCGGUAAUACGGAGGAUCCGAGCGUUAUCCGGAUUUAUUGGGUUUAAAGGGUGCGUAGGUGGUUUAAUAAGUCAGCGGUGAAAGUUUGCAGCUUAACUGUAAAAAUGCCGUUGAAACUGUUAGACUUGAGUGUAAAUGAGGUAGGCGGAAUGCGUGGUGUAGCGGUGAAAUGCUUAGAUAUCACGAAGAACUCCGAUUG